rnacentral:sRNA from 1 species
CUGCACACGGAUGUGCAGAAAAGUUUUAAAUAAUGAGUUUUGCGGAGCAAAACUCGAGUUCAAAACCGCACAGGACGUGCGGUUUUGAAACAAAC